rnacentral:rRNA from 1 species
CCCUUAGAUGUUCUGGGCCGCACGCGCGCCACACUGAUGCAUUCAACGAGCCUAGCCUUGACCGAGAGGUCCGGGUAAUCUUUGAAACUGCAUCGUGAUGGGGCUAGAUUAUUGCAAUUAUUAAUCUUCAACGAGGAAUGCCUAGUAAGCGUGAUUCAUCAAAUCGCGUUGAUUACGUCCCUGCCCUUUGUACACACCGCCCGUCGCUCCUACCGAUUGAGUGUGUUGGUGAGGAGUUCGGAUUGGCUCUUAGUGGUGGUUCGCCACCACCUAGAGCUGAGAAGUUCUCCAAACCGCCCCACUUAGAGGAAGGAGAAGUCGUAACA